GUGUCAGCCGCCGCGGUAAUACGUAGGAUCCAAGCGUUGUCCGGAUUUACUGGGUGUAAAGGGUGCGCAGGCGGACUUAUAAGUUAGAGGUGAAAUCUCUCGGCUCAACCGGGAAACUGCCUUUGAUACUGUAAGUCUUGAAUCCGAGAGAGAUUUGUGGAAUUCCGAGUGUAGCAGUGAAAUGUGUAGAUAUUCGGAAGAACACCAGUGGCGAAGGCAGCAAAUUGGCUCGGUAUUGACGCUCAGGCACGAAAGCAUGGGGAUCAAACAGGAUUAGAUACCCCGGUAGUCC
rnacentral:rRNA from 1 species